GACAGAGGCCCCAAGCGUUAGGCGGAAUCACUGGGCUUAAAGCGUGUGUAGGCGGAUCGUUAAGUGUCUUGUGAAAUCCCACGGCUCACCCGUGGAACUGCUGGGCAUACUGGCGAUCUUGGGCCAACUAGGGGCAGUCGGAACAAGCGGUGGAGCGGUGAAAUGCGUAGAUAUCGCUUGAACGCCGAAGGUGAAAACAGACGCUGGGUAGUGGCUGC
rnacentral:rRNA from 1 species